rnacentral:lncRNA from 1 species
CACUUGCAAUAUAUCAUGCUCCUCAACUUGUUGGAAUUACAACCUCGAAUCUCAAAGUCAGUGAUAAGUUGAAAAUUCAUUACCUUGGUAAAUUAUCACCUUCAAAUUCUCUAUAUGCAUAUUUAUUUUGUAGCAUAGUUUAUUCCUAACAAAUUUGGAUUAUUUGCAAUAGUCAUACUUCUUAGGUUAGGUGGCUUUAUAUUCUCAAGAGGUACACUUUCAAUAGAUGUAAUGAUGUUUUUAUUUUUCAAGUUAUGUAACCUUAUUAUAUAGUUUUUUUCCCUUUUGAUUUCUUCUUGAAUUGAAACUGAUAAUAUUAAGAAAUGAUGGAUGUGUGCAUAGAAGGCAAUGAUAGAUGUCAACUGUUGUGACAUAUGCAUUGCUGCCAUUAUCUUAGUUCCAAUAUCAAUUAUUAGAAGUUAUUUAUUUUGUUUAUCAUGUCACAUGACAGGUAUUUCCUGUUGCUCAAAAGGAAUUUUGUGGAUUCAAUCCUUUUACAAGUAUGAACUCUCUCUCAUCUCUGGUCUUGAACUUGUUUGAGCGAGCUUGAAUACCCACUUUUCCUUUAUUCCUCGUAUCUCUUCCUUUAUUUUGGGUGCAAAAUAUACUAAACUGACGUGUUCAUGUUGUGCAGCAUUUGUGUGCUAUAGAAUUAUUUUAUANNNNNNNNNNNNNNNNNNNNNNNNNNUCUACACAAACUUAUAAGCUAUGUGGUUUGGUACAUCUCUCACUCUUCAUUCUCAAACAUAGGAAAUUCACACAAAGGUUCAAGUUAUUGACAUCUAUCUAGUCUCUUUUUAAUCCACACAAAGGUAAGCUCAAAUAUGCCUAUUUUGUCAAAUAACUUAUAAAAAUUAGUUUUGAUAAUAAUGUCUGUCUUGUAUUUGAUAACAUACCUUAAUUAAGAUAGUAAUGUGUUUACAAAUUAGUCUCAUCUGAUAUUUAGAUUUGGUUGGGUUGUUUAGUGUCAUGUUAUUUUGCAUUUGAAUUAUAUCUCUCAAUGCUACUACAUAUAUAGACCCUUAGUAAGUUGAUUAAUAUGUUUGAAUUAUAUCUUUCGUGAUUUUAGGCUUUACAAAAUGCUGCUUAUAAAGCUGAUUGGUAUGUUCUCAAUAUAGUGUGCAAUAUGUCACAAUCUACGGAAGUUGUUCAUGAGGUAAUUUUCCCCAAAUCCUAAGUAUUGUUGUCUCUUUUUAUGUAAACCUUUAUGUCACAAUCUAUUUAAAUUAGUUCACCUUUAAUGAACUUUUUCCUAACAGUGUUGGAAGAACUUCACAUGUCUAUAUAACUGGUUUAUAUAGAAUUGAAAGAGUUUGCAACUCUGCAUCAAUAUACUUUGUUGGAACUGAAGUUUUACAUUGACAAAAGUAUUUACUGACUAGACGUUCACAUUUGAUCAUAUUCAAUUUUAGAGCCAAAAGCAACAAAUAGUUAUGAGUGCAGCUAUUAUGUCAUGAUACACAUGUUGAACAUUGUAUCUACUGGUGUUGUUGGUUCAUGGACCUAAGUAAGUAAUAUAAUUUAUGUAUCAAGCUGUAUCAAUUGAUUAGUACUAUUGUUUAUCUAAUUGGUGUAAGAGAAAACAAGCUAUAGUACAUGACGAAAUUUGGAGACAGAUCUAAGUUUAAGUUUUUUUAUUCUUUUUGUCCAGGUACGGUUACAAUUUUAAUGAUAUGCAGUUGCCCCAGCACAUUAAGAAGGGAUAUGAAGUUUUUUCAAGACUUAGAAUAAUUCAUUAUUGUGUUGGUUCUCUCUGUGUUAGAAUUGUAAUUAGUUUGUAGUUAGUUACUUAUUUCUUCAUGAGUGAUAUUACCCCUUAAAUUAGUUUGUAAAUCUGUUCUUAUGUAAUUUAAAUUGGGGAAAUAAAUUACUCUCAUUUGGAUAUUUGGUUGGCAAAUGCAAAUCUACC